rnacentral:lncRNA from 1 species
GACUCAUGAAGCAUUCCUUGUCAGAUGGUUGGCCUCAGGCUGAGGUGGCUGUAUGCAUGCUCUGGAGAGCAGGAGCACUCUGUGUGAGUAGCAGUUCCUGAACAGUCUCCUGUUCAGAGCCUGGGAUGACAGUGAACUCACUUCCUGCCAGUCUGCACCUCCACGUUGCAGUGCAGGGAGGACGACGCCACGGGGUUCUCACCAUGUGACGAACAGACAGCUGUAUGCAUGCUGUGGAGAGCAUGAACACUCUGCAUGUAUAUUUGUUCCUAAAGAUUCGGCUUCAUGUAGCCUGGGAUUUGAGCGAAAUGACUUUGUGCUAGUCUGCAGCUCAAAGUUUCACUGGAAGGACGAUGCCUCCAGGUGGUUCUCACAAUGCAUCGAAAAGGUACUCAUUAUUUCAGUGCGUGCCAGUUGUAUGAGUGCAUUUCAC